UACAGAGGCCCCAAGCAUUAUCCGGAUUUACUGGGCGUAAAGGGUGCGUAGGCGGUUAUAUUAGUCGGGUGUUAAAUCCUGAGGCUCAACCUCAGAAUCGCAUUCGAAACGGUAUAACUAGAAGGAGUCAGAGGCAAGCAGAACUCACGGUGUAGGGGUGAAAUCCGUUGAUAUCGUGGGGAAUACCAAAUGCGAAGGCAGCUUGCUGGGACUUUCUUGACGCUGAGGCACGAAAGCGUGGGUAGCGAAUCGG
rnacentral:rRNA from 1 species